rnacentral:rRNA from 1 species
UACGGAGGAUGCGAGCGUUAUCCGGAUUUAUUGGGUUUAAAGGGUGCGCAGGCGGAUUUUUAAGUCAGCGGUCAAAUCGUGGGGCUCAACCCCAUCCAGCCGUUGAAACUGGGGAUCUAGAGUGUGCGAGAGGUAUGCGGAAUGCGUGGUGUAGCGGUGAAAUGCAUAGAUAUCACGCAGAACCCCGAUUGCGAAGGCAGCAUACCGGUGCACAACUGACGCUCAGGCACGAAAGCGUGGGUAUCGAGCAGG